ACAUGCCUACAACAUAGCGUUAAUGUACCAAAUCUCAUUAGAACUCCGCAGUUAAGCAUGAUCAGGCUAGAGUAGUACUUGGAUGGGUGACCACCCGAGAAGUCCUAGUGUUUUACAUGCC
rnacentral:rRNA from 1 species